rnacentral:lncRNA from 1 species
UAAUAAUGCUAAGCAAGCUUAAUAAAAUUCAAAAAAACCUCAAAGAAAUUUCAAAUAAACAAUAAGAAUUCUUAAAGAAAUAUUAGAAGGAUCAUAAAUAUCACUCAAAUACAUCUCAAUUCAAUCUUAAUUUAAUUCUAAUUAAAAUCAUAUAGAACUUCAUUCAAACUUUAGGCCAAAACUAAUUGAAUCUUAAAUCCUAAUAAAAUCCUAAACCUUAAAUCAAACCCUAAACAAACCUUAAACCAAACCCCAACCAAAUCCUAAACCAAAUCCUAACCAAACCCUAAACCAAAUCCUAAACCCUAAAUCAAAUCCUAAACAAAUCCUAAUCCAAAUCCUAAACCCUAAACCAAAUCCUAAUCCAAAUCCUAAACCCUUUAUGAAAUCCUAAUCAAAUCCUAAUUCAAAUCCUAAAUCCUAAACUAAAUCCUAAUCCAAACCCUAAAUCCUAAAUUAAAUCCUAAUCCAAAUUCUAAACCCUAAACCAAACCCUAGUAAUUUAUAUAAUAGAUUUAAACCUCAAUAACUAAUGAAUAAAUUGUCGAUCUUAAUUCAAAUUUUUCACACUUCUAAAAAAAUAAGUUAAAAAUAAGUAAAAAAAAAAUUGAAAAGGAUCGGAGUCACCAAAUUGAUGAUAACCUCAAAAAUGUACUUGGGUAUUGACUGGCCUCCUUCUCCAAUCUUGAUGCCAAUCUUCCAGAGCUAAUAUCUUUCUUUUGCACCGUUUGAGUGAUCUCAAAAUUCUUAUACACAUAGAAAAUCAAGUCUAAUAUCCUCUCACGUAAG